rnacentral:lncRNA from 1 species
CAGGUUACCCCCAAAGUUUCAAGAUCGUUGGUGGUGUGCUCAAGCACUCCAUCCUCAGACAAGAGUUCGACAUCACCCUCGGCUUCGCCGCUCCAAGCCUUCUCAGCUGCUCUUGCUCUUUCUUCCAUUCUUCUUUCAGCUCCACAGCCUGCUGUAGCUGACAUUUCAGGGCUCACCCCAUGCAAGGAGUCCAAGCAGUUCGCCAAACGUGAAAAGCAGCAGAUCAAGAAGCUCGAGUCAUCGUUGAAUCUUUACGCCCCUGACAGCGCUCCAGCUCUGGCUAUCAAAGCAACCAUCGAGAAAACCAAGAGAAGGUUCGACAACUAUGGGAAAUACGGGCUGCUUUGUGGCUCUGAUGGGUUGCCUCAUUUGAUAGUGAACGGUGACCAGAGGCACUGGGGUGAGUUCAUCACACCAGGCCUUUUGUUCUUGUACAUCGCUGGAUGGAUCGGGUGGGUUGGAAGAAGCUACCUCAUUGCUAUAAGGGAUGACAAGAAGCCAGCCAUGAAGGAGAUCAUCAUCGAUGUGCCUUUGGCUAGCAGUCUGCUCUUUAGAGGCUUCAUCUGGCCUGUCGCAGCCUACAGAGACCUUGUCAAUGGUGACCUGAUUGCCAAGGACGUGUAAUCUCCUCAGGUCUGCCUAUCUUCUCUCUCAUUAAAAUUUUCAAAUUUAAUUAUUUAUGUCGCAUUACUUUAUCAUGAAUCCUCAGCAAUAACUUUUUUUUUUUGUUAACAACAAUACAUAAUAUUGUAGUAAUUAACUUGUGAUACAUGUUGUCUUGAAAUUCAUGAGAUAGAACGAAAGGGAAUUGUAAAAUCAGAAAAUUUGCCUUGAUUAUUUGUUGUAUUACCAAGGUAUCAAUGUUUCUAUGUUUUUAUUAUUAAGAUUGGAGCAUUCCGAUGUCUGAUAGUAGUUUAUAGUAACUAAUUGGGUGUAUUAAUUUGGUUUCUAUUGUACUGUUUUUGGGCACAGAGAUUGAAUGGAACGAACACUGGGAUGGUACGGAAGACGGUGUGCUUUAGACUGAAUAUUGUUUGUGGAAGAGAGGCAUCUUGGGAAAUUUCUUGUACUUAAAAUGUAAAUUUUUUUCUUACUCGAGUGAAUGCAAUGCUAGUGUU